GCCACCUCUUGGACUGACACUGUAAUUACACAUUCUUUUUUGGGAAAUCGAUUCUGGUGCGUUUAAUUCGUGUUUAAAAAUUCGUAACUUUAGUUUUAUGCAGUACAGUAAACAAAUAAGUAAAUAAAAUUAAAGAUACAUAAAAUUCACAAUUUAAUCUAGGCUAAGAGCAAUUGAAUUCAUUCAAACCAACAAACAAACUGCGUGUGGUUAUGUUAUAAAUAUAAAAAUAAUAAAAAAAAACAAAUAAAAUUUUGCGUUUAUCCUGUCCACUUAUCUAUAUAAUGAUGACUCUAUCUUAACUCUUCUCUAUCAGAUAUCCUCCUGUCACUAAACUGUUGCGUCACGUGGUUUUGGCAGUAACUAUGGAAACGUCCACGCAAUGCACUAUCAGCUUCCGUUUUUUACUUUUAUCCACCGCCGUAUAUAGGAUUGAGACCAUGGCCGUAGCUUCUAUUGUUAAGCUUCUUAAACGGACUAAACUGACAUUAUAGUUUGUCUGGCAUCUGAAAGUGGAGAUGAAGCCUCAUACCAGCGUCGUCAGACCUAAACUGAUGUCACUGCCAGCUGAAGCUCCUCUGAUAAUACAGGACGUUACAGACGCGCGAGCCAUGCAUCCUUCAAACCUCAUCUCCAGUCCUCCAGUGUCCGGAUGUUCCACGGCUGCUGAAGCCAGGCUGAAUGUUUUCUCAGCGACACGGAAAUGCCCACGCAGUCCGAGCGAUUCCAGGGAUCUAAAGCCUCACAGUGUCAGCUCUAUUACUAAAGGGCCACUGCUUCCAUUUCUAGCCAAAAAUCACUCAAACGUAACCUUACAAAACAAUGUGUAUGACAGUGAUAUUUCUGGACGGCAUUUCUUAUUUGAUAAACGAUGGAGAAAUGGAACUUACUUCACUAAUGGCAUUGAAGGUGAUGUUCUGAUAAACCACAACACUACAAAUCCACUGUCUCAGGACUUCCAUGUGUAUCGCUCUCACAAUCUAACCAGAUUCGCCCACCGCAAAGAACUCUGCCUGCGCGACCCAAGACCACUUAUUUGCGGGUCUGAUUAUCUGGCUUCAUUUCCAUCAGUUCUGUUACCAGCCACCACCCCAUCUGUCAGUGGACGGCUCUGUUUAUCACAAAACUAUAAAAACAGAUUAAGGAUGAAAACCAGAGCACGAAAUCUCUUCGAUGGCGCUAACAACAAAACCUGUGGGCCGGUAAUUGUUUUUCAGCCCAAUCGUACCCUGAUCCACACCUGGGUGCCUCGGCCUCUUUUGUUCAGAGGCUCACAGAGAUUUCCUCUCUGGAAGCAGAAACAGUGCGGCAGGAGAGAAUGAAGAGACUCAAAAAGAUCAAUAGGCAGGAUUCUUAAUCGGAGUUCAUUAGCCAAAGAGGAAACACUUGACUCUUGAAAUCACAGCUGUGCCAAGAUGGAGCAAAUAAAAUCAAGGAGAAAAACUUGAGAGGUACA
ensembl:lncRNA